rnacentral:rRNA from 1 species
AUUGAACGCUGGCGGCAUGCCUUACACAUGCAAGUCGAACGGUAACAGGUCUUCGGAUGCUGACGAGUGGCGAACGGGUGAGUAAUACAUCGGAACGUGCCUAGUAGUGGGGGAUAACUACUCGAAUGAGUGGCUAAUACCGCAUGAGAUCUACGGAUGAAAGCAGGGGAUCGCAAGACCUUGUGCUACUAGAGCGGCCGAUGGCAGAUUAGGUAGUUGGUGGGAUAAAAGCUUACCAAGCCGACGAUCUAUAGCUGGUCUGAGAGGACGAUCAGCCACACUGGGACUGAGACACGGCCCAGACUCCUACGGGAGGCAGCAGUGGGGAAUUUUGGACAAUGGGCGAAAGCCUGAUCCAGCAAUGCCGCGUGCAGGAUGAAGGCCUUCGGGUUGUAAACUGCUUUUGUACGGAACGAAAAGCCCCGGGUUAAUACCCUGGGGUCAUGACGGUACCGUAAGAAUAAGCACCGGCUAACUACGUGCCAGCCGCCGCGGUAA